UCAUUCUUUACAAUACCAGAACCAGAAGCUUCAGUCUUGAAAAAUCUCACUUUCUUUCUCUCUCGUGGUCGUAGCAAACCCUAGAUCGAAUCAUGUCUGGAGGGUACGGUCAUGAUGCCGGAGGUGGCUCUGCGCCACCUUCCUAUGGAGCUAGCGGUGGAUACGGUUCAUCUGGCGGUAAUUACGGAGGUGGAGGUGGUGGUAAUUAUGGUGGCGGAGGCUAUGGAGGAGGUGUCGCUGGUGGUGGCUAUGGUGGAAAUGAAAGCGGUGGAGGUUAUGGAGCAAAAGGAAGCGGAAACGGAGCUGGUGGUGGAUAUGGUGGUAACGAUGGUGGAGGUUAUGGUGGAAGGAGUGGAUAUGGUGGAAACGAUGGAGGUGGUUAUGGUGGAAGAGGUGGCGGCGGUAGAGGAGGUGGUGGUGGUGGUGGAGGAGGAUAUGGAGGUCGCGGUGGUGGUGGUGAUCGCGGUUUUCAAGGUGGAGACCGUGGAGGUCGAGGUGGUGGUGGUCGUGGCGGUGGCGGCCGUGGUGGUGGAAGUGGCAGAGAUGGAGAUUGGCGUUGUCCUAACGAAAGUUGUGGGAACGUGAACUUUGCUAGAAGGAAUGAAUGUAACAAAUGCGGUACUCCAUGUCCUAGCAGUGGUAAUGACCGCGGCGGUAGUGGUGGUGGUUAUAAUAGAGGAGGAAGUGAUGGAGGAUACGGCAGUAACAGAGGAGGUAGGUCCGGGAACUACGAUGGAGGAAGAAAUAAUGAUUAUAAUGGUGGAAGGAGUAGUAACAAUGAUGGAAGAGGUGGAGGGAGCAAUAGAGGUGGCUCAUAUGGUGGUAAUCAAGGCAGAGAUGAUGGUGGCUAUGGUCAAGCUCCUCCUCCAGCUGCUCCUCAGUCUUAUGGAGGUGGUGGUAGUGGAAAUUACCCACCUACUUAUGGUGGGAAUGCAAACUAUGGAACAGAUGCUGUUCCUCCACCUACAAGCUAUACCGGCGGACCUAAUUCGUAUCCUCCUUCAUAUGGGGGUAACACGGGUGGUUAUGGUGGAAACAAUCAAGGUGAUGCACGGAGUGGUGGUAGGUCUGCGCCUCCAGCUGGACAUGACAGUGGUAAUCGCGGUGGAUUUGGUGGAGCUCCUGCAGAGUCAGCUGCUCCUGUGAAGCAGUGCGAUGAGAAUUGUGGAGAUACAUGUGACAACUCUAGAAUCUACAUCUCAAAUUUACCACCUGAUGUGACUGCUGAUGAAUUGCAGCAACUUUUUGGAGGCAUUGGAAUGGUUGGAAGAAUAAAACAGAAGAGGGGUUAUAAAGAUCAAUGGCCAUACAACAUUAAAAUUUACACUGAUGAAAGUGGAAAAAACAAGGGUGAUGCGUGCCUUGCUUACGAAGAUCCUUCUGCUGCUCACUCUGCUGGUGGAUUUUACAAUGAUUAUGAGUUGAGGGGUUACAAAAUCAGUGUUGCGAUGGCAGAGAAAUCUGCACCAAGGGCUCCACAAGCAAAUAACUACGGGUAUGCAUUACAGACUAAUACUUGCUUAUGUUGUAGAUUGGGAUUGAAAAUACGCGUUAUUUUCAUAAUAAUUAAAAAGUGUUCACUCGUUAAAUUUCUAUGCAUAUCUUUUAUUUUGUGUUCACUCAAUAAAUUUCUAUGCAUAUCUUUUAUUUUUCAUGUUUUUAAGCAUAAAUGUCAUAGGUGGACAGUAUUGAGCUCAUCAACUUCCGAUCAUCAUACAAUAAUUAAAAUAAACAAUGAUUGUUAAAUUUAGUUUUAGGUUUUCAAAUUGGAUUUUUGUACUUUCAAUUAAUUGGUAUGUAUGUUUUUAUUGCAUUGAUGACUUGAUGCAUCUACUGACCAUGUUCAUAUAUACAACUGUGUGUUUCUUUUUGAAAAUGAAAAUUCUAUCCCUCCUUGGAAGUUCAAAACUAAUUGUUUUUCUUUGUUUUAUAGGGGCAAUAGAGGUGGCUAUGGUGGAGAUAGGCGCAGAGACAAUUCCGGUCCUGAUAGACGAGAUCAUUAUAGUGGGAAUCGCUCACGCCCAUACUAGAGCUUUGUCGUUGAACGUUUUAUGUACUUUGAACUGUGGUCUGAGGGAUUUAUUAUUUCAGUUGGCUGGUUUCUUGAACUGGAUGCUAAGAGAGGCAUGUGGAUAGUCUCCAAAUAAUUGCUGCUAAGGUAGGUUGAUUAUUUCAGGUGAGUGCUGUUUUCAUGAAAACAUGCUUUAUGCUUGCUUGAAAUUAAACCAUGUGUCACUAUGUGGAUCCAUGGCUCAUCCCAUGUGGCAUCUGGUACAAGCCUGUGAUUGCACUAAUGAAUAGAAUACUGUAUAUCAGUCAUAUUUUGAUGGAUCAAUUAAUCCCAGUGUUUCAAAUGCAAUUUGUUUUGUCAGGAUAUUACUGAUUCUGCCUGUAGUUAUCUAAAAUAUCAUUCACAAUCGUUUCAUUACAAGUUAUAUAAUGAUGGCCUGUUGGUAGGCAUUGUAA